UGAUCCUGGCUCAGAUUGAACGCUGGCGGCAGGCUUAACACAUGCAAGUCGAGCGGAAACGAUGAUAGCUUGCUAUCAGGCGUCGAGCGGCGGACGGGUGAGUAAUACUUAGGAAUCUACCUAGUAGUGGGGGAUAGCACGGGGAAACUCGUAUUAAUACCGCAUACGACCUACGGGAGAAAGGGGGCAGUUUACUGCUCUCGCUAUUAGAUGAGCCUAAGUCGGAUUAGCUAGAUGGUGGGGUAAAGGCCUACCAUGGCGACGAUCUGUAGCUGGUCUGAGAGGAUGAUCAGCCACACCGGGACUGAGACACGGCCCGGACUCCUACGGGAGGCAGCAGUGGGGAAUAUUGGACAAUGGGGGAAACCCUGAUCCAGCCAUGCCGCGUGUGUGAAGAAGGCCUUUUGGUUGUAAAGCACUUUAAGCAGUGAAGAAGACUCCGUGGUUAAUACCCACGGACGAUGACAUUAGCUGCAGAAUAAGCACCGGCUAACUCUGUGCCAGCAGCCGCGGUAAUACAGAGGGUGCAAGCGUUAAUCGGAAUUACUGGGCGUAAAGGGAGCGUAGGUGGCUCUAUAAGUCAGAUGUGAAAUCCCCGGGCUCAACCUGGGAACUGCAUCUGAAACUGUAGAGCUAGAGUAUGUGAGAGGAAGGUAGAAUUCCAGGUGUAGCGGUGAAAUGCGUAGAGAUCUGGAGGAAUACCGAUGGCGAAGGCAGCCUUCUGGCAUAAUACUGACACUGAGGCUCGAAAGCGUGGGUAGCAAACAGGAUUAGAUACCCUGGUAGUCCACGCCGUAAACGAUGUCUACUAGUCGUUGGGUCCCUUGAGGACUUAGUGACGCAGCUAACGCAAUAAGUAGACCGCCUGGGGAGUACGGCCGCAAGGUUAAAACUCAAAUGAAUUGACGGGGGCCCGCACAAGCGGUGGAGCAUGUGGUUUAAUUCGAUGCAACGCGAAGAACCUUACCUGGUCUUGACAUAUCUAGAAUCCUGCAGAGAUGCGGGAGUGCCUUCGGGAAUUAGAAUACAGGUGCUGCAUGGCUGUCGUCAGCUCGUGUCGUGAGAUGUUGGGUUAAGUCCCGCAACGAGCGCAACCCUUGUCCUUAGUUACCAGCGGGUUAAGCCGGGAACUCUAAGGAUACUGCCAGUGACAAACUGGAGGAAGGCGGGGACGACGUCAAGUCAUCAUGGCCCUUACGACCAGGGCUACACACGUGCUACAAUGGUAGGUACAGAGGGCAGCUACACAGCGAUGUGAUGCGAAUCUCAAAAAGCCUAUCGUAGUCCAGAUUGGAGUCUGCAACUCGACUCCAUGAAGUAGGAAUCGCUAGUAAUCGCGGAUCAGAAUGCCGCGGUGAAUACGUUCCCGGGCCUUGUACACACCGCCCGUCACACCAUGGGAGUUGAUUGCACCAGAAGUGGAUAGCUUAACCUUCGGGGAGGCGUUCACCAC
rnacentral:rRNA from 1 species